rnacentral:rRNA from 1 species
CCUACGGGUGACAGCAGUGGGGGAUAUUGCACAAUGGGGGGAACCCUGAUGCAGCGACGCCGCGUGGGUGAAGAAGCGCCUCGGCGCGUAAAGCCCUGUCAGCAGGGAAGAAAAUGACGGUACCUGAAGAAGAAGCCCCCGCUAACUACGUGCCAGCAGCCGCGGGAAUACGUAGGGGGCAAGCGUUAUCCGGAUUUACUGGGUGUAAAGGGGGCGCAGACGGCGAUGCAAGCCAGGAGUGAAAGCCCGGGGCCCAACCCCGGGAAUGCUCUUGGAACUGCGUGGCUGGAGUGCAGGAGGGGCAGGCGGAAUUCCUGGUGUAGCGGUGAAAUGCGUAGAUAUCAGGAGGAACACCGGUGGCGAAGGCGGCCUGCUGGACUGCAACUGACGUUGAGGCUCGAAAGCGUGGGGAGCAAACAGGAUUAGAUACCCUGGUAGUC